rnacentral:rRNA from 1 species
AGUGAACGCUGGCGGUAGGCCUAACACAUGCAAGUCGAACGGCAGCACAGUAAGAGCUUGCUCUUACGGGUGGCGAAUGGCGGACGGGUGAGGAAUACAUCGGAAUCUACUUUUUCGUGGGGGAUAACGUAGGGAAACUUACGCUAAUACCGCAUACGACCUACGGGUGAAAGCAGGGGAUCUUCGGACCUUGCGCGAUUGAAUGAGCCGAUGUCGGAUUAGCUAGUUGGCGGGGUAAAGGCCCACCAAGGCGACGAUCCGUAGCUGGUCUGAGAGGAUGAUCAGCCACACUGGAACGGAGACACGGUCCAGACUCCUACGGGAGGCAGCAGUGGGGAAUAUUGGACAAUGGGCGCAAGCCUGAUCCAGCCAUACCGCGUGGGUGAAGAAGGCCUUCGGGUUGUAAAGCCCUUUUGUUGGGAAAGAAAAGCAGCAGGUUAAUACCCCGCUGUUCUGACGGUACCCAAAGAAUAAGCACCGGCUAACUUCGUG